UGGUACGGGGGGGAAUCAAACCCCCAUUAAUGAAUUUACAGUUCACCGCCUGACAUUCGGCCACCACACC
rnacentral:tRNA from 1 species